UAGCUUAGUUGGUAAGGAAUCUGCCUGCAAUGCAGGAGACCCUGGUUCAACUCCUGG
rnacentral:tRNA from 1 species